ensembl:snRNA Gm23462 predicted gene, 23462
GUGCUCGCUUCAGCAGCACAUAUACUAAAAUUGGAACAGUACAGAGAUUAGCAUGGCUCCUGCGCAAGGAUGAUAUGCAGAUUUGUAAAGCAUUCCAUAUUUUU